UACGAAGGGUGCAAGCGUUACUCGGAAUUACUGGGCGUAAAGCGUGCGUAGGCGGUUCGUUAAGUCCGUUGUGAAAGCCCUGGGCUCAACCUGGGAAUGGCAGUGGAUACUGGCGAGCUAGAGUGUGAUAGAGGAUGGUGGAAUUCCCGGUGUAGCGGUGAAAUGCGUAGAGAUCGGGAAGAACACCAGUGGCGAAGGCGGCCAUCUGGAUCAACACUGACGCUGAGGCACGAAAGCGUGGGGAGCAAACAGG
rnacentral:rRNA from 1 species